CCGCGCGCCCGCGCGCUCGACGCCACUGGCUACUCGCGGCAGCACGAGGCAGGAAAAGGGAGCCUCUGAAUUGUGGGGACGUGACCUGGGUCAAGAUAUUAGCAUACAGCCAUAAAAUAUCCCUCCUGCGGGCGGGGAAUGGAGUAAAAAUAGUUUCUCUCUCUAUCCCAGUGCUUCUGAGAACUACAGGCGCGCCCACAUCUUUUCAACCCAAAACCUGACUAGGUUUUUUUGAGUGCUGAGUAAAGUGGAGCGAAAGAACCAUCACAUCCAAAUUUCAAGCCCCAUAAGAGCACACAUUCCUUAGCCGUUAUCAGUUAAAAGAAAUAAAUGUAUAGCUUUUCAGUGCCCCCCCCGCCCCCAUAAAGAGUUGCCGGAACUCACCACAAACAAACACCUCCCUCGUUAGAAGGGCAAUGGCACCCACCUGAGGUGCCGGAACUGAGUUCCCGUGAGUUCCCGCCAUUCUUAUGGCAAUGGGAGAGGCCAGCGGGAAGGUGAACUGAGCUGAAAAGGCUGCCUGGAUUUUGGGCUCUGAGGAAGCUCGAGCGAGAGGCCCACGCAAGGAGCUGGAGCAGGAAGUGAUUAACAGUGGGGAGAAAGGAGAAGUUUAAAUAGCAACAUAAAAACCUGAAGGUCGCAUUCACACCAUGCAUUUGAAAAACGUGAUUAUGCCUUUUUUUUACAUGCAUGGAGAAUCCUGGGAACUGUAGUUUGUUAAAGAGUGCUGCUAACCUGGCCCUCCAGCUGUUUUGGGACUACAACUCUCAUCAUCACUAGCUAACAGGACCAGUGGUCAGGGAUGAUGGGAUUUUUUUUUUUUUAGAUUUUCACAUUUAGAUUUAGAUUUAUUACGGCCAUUGGCCCAUAUCAAAAACAAUACAUCAGAAUUUAUCCAUAAACAAUACAAUUUAAACAGUUCCAAGUUAAAACACCCUUAUAAAACCAAUUUUACUUUAGUUAAGUAAACACUAUACACAAUAAGCUCCCUCUAUGUAAACCGCAAUUCCGAUCCAUCAGAUUUUGGGGGUAUACGUCUUAGUUCUGGCACUUAUUGAUGGUUCUUAAGUUUAGCUAAGCUGUCAGAAACAUACAGUGAUCCAUUUCUCCUCUUUUGAAAUAAAACAUUAAUCAGGUAUCUAGCGAUUGCAAGGGAUCUACUUGUAUCUUCGUCGUUUAAUAAGUAUAUUAUUUGGGCUUCCUGAGGACUGUCAGCAAUUCUCGAUAAAUAUGGGGCCAGAAACUUGGACCGUGAAGCCGAAUGUAAUGGACAACAGAAGAUUAUAUGAUAUAACGAUUCUAUAGAUCCGCUUUUACAGUCACAGAGGAGUGAGAUCUGUCCGUUGGAGAGUCUGUUACCCAACACGUUUGAUGGGAAAACAUUGAAUCUAGCCAUUAUAAAGGCAUACCUGUGCGUCACCACAGAUAAGGUAGUUAAGUAAGAUGGAAGUUUCGUUGGUGGAGUUAAGCCAAGGUUUAUCGGCGAACAGGUGCCUCCACCUGUCGCAAUAUUAAAUUGUAAAUCCAUCUCCUCUAAUUUGUGAGUUAUAAUUCUUUUGGCCGAAGUUAAAUCCAAUUUUAAUAGUUCGGAUGGAGAUAGUCCUAGGGACACAAGUUUCCCAUGUAUUAUUUUUGCCCAGGGGCUAGGGAAGUCAUCUCUCCAGAGGCAUUGUAUCAGGUGGAGAUUUGGAAGUUUAUGCCAUAAAGCCAACCAGUAACAGAGGAUGCAUUUCCAUAAUGUGGUUUCUAGAGAUGUAACAUUUAGUUCCAGUCGUAUAGCAGUAUUGCUUACACACCUGGGUAAUUUUAACAACCUUCUUAAAAGCUGGUUUUGGAUUACCUCCAACUGGGUUAGAUUAGCAAAGGACCCCCAUAAUGGGACUGCAUAUGCUAUUGUUGCAAUCACCUUUGCCUUGAAAACUUUUAACACUGAUGGAAUAUGGAAAGCCCCAUCUGAAAAGAAAAACGCAAUAGCGCAUAGGAAAGGGCUUUAGCUCUGUUUAAUACAUAUGCAACAUGGACCUUCCAGCCCAUGUUGUGUUGGAGGAAGACUCCCAAGUACUGAAAUUUAAAGACUUGGUCAAUAGCUUUUCCGUCUAUUCUCCAAUUAUAGGUUUUUCGACUCUUGGUGAAAAUUAGAACUUUGGACUUAACAUGGUUAAUUGUAAGAAAAUUUGAUUUACAGUAAACAUCGAAAAUUUUUAAUGCCCUCCUAAGGCCGACUCUUGAAAAGGAUAGGAUCACUGCGUCGUCUGCGUAGAGUAGAAGGGGGGCAACGAUAUUGGGCAAGACGGGGGGCGUGGAUCGUUUCUUGAGCCUCUAUCAGAGGCGCCCUCAUAUCACUUAUAAAUAGAUUGAAAAGGGUCGGAGCAAGGAUACAUCCUUGGCGAACACCUCUAUUGAUAGUUACUGAGUUUGAGAGGUCGCCUGCCGGAGAGAUUCUCACCCUAGCGGCCGAUCCGUCAUGCAGUUUAGUUAUUAGCCACAAAAGUCUUUUGUCUAUUCCCCAUCGGGCUAGUUUCCCCAAAGCAAUCCUCUGGGGAUGCUGUCAAAAGCGGCCUUUAAAUCAAUAAAGGCCGCACAAAGUUGGCCUCUAUUUGGGGAGGAGUAUUUCCGGGCAAGGUGGUAUAAAACUAAGAUCUGAUCAACCGCUGACUGAUUCGGUCUAAAACCAGCCUGUUCAGGCCCAAUCAGGUUGUUCUCUUCGGCCCACUUAGUAAGCUUAGUUAACAAGAACCAUGCAUAUAUUUUCCCGAUUAAUGACAAUAAACUGAUAUUCCUGUAAUUUCCCGGGUCAUCUGUCGAGCCUUUUUUAUGGAUUGGAACAAUAAUCGCAUCCUUCCAUAUUCUUGGUACCUUCCCACUGUUGUUUACGGCAUCAAAGGUAGCGGCCAAGAUUUUCGCCCACCAGUCAGCAUGAAGCUUUAUAGCUUCUGCCGGGACUAGAUCAGGACCGGGGGCUUUUCCGAUUUUAAGAUUAGAAAUAAGUCCGUGGAUUUCUUCCGGGUCAGAAUUGUAUGGGAAUUGUAGUCCCAAAACAGCUGGAGGGCCAAGUUUGACCAUGCCUGCGUGACAGGUAUAAUUGCUAGCAUAGUUCCCAAGACUCUCCAUGGCUAACCGUGGCAUAGUAGCUUGUGCUUUAAAUGUUAAUUUAAAUGUUUAAAUGUUAAUUCUAAUGAAAAAGAAAGCCAAAGCUUACUUAAUAUUUCAAGCACAAAUACACUGGCGCUAUUUUAAAAUUAAAACUAAUUUUGUUUGUUCUGACAAUAUGGGAAAAAACAUCACUUAUACCAAGUGAUGAAUUAUCCUGUAGGAGGCAUAGUGAGAUAUUGUUGAAGGGAUUCUACCUUUGCAAUGACCUUAUGGCACUUUCCUGUAAUUACAUUUUAGGCUUGGAUAUUUCAUAUGCUGGAUGUAUUAAAUGAGGUAUGAACAGAAUUUUAAAACUUGAUGUGAUUACUCACUGCCAUGCUGAAAUAAAUGUGUGUUGUGAACUAGAAAUGCAUUCAAAAUUAAAAGCUUUUAUUUACACAAUGGCAUAAGAGGCGGAUGUGUGGAUUGUAUUUAUUGUGUUAGGGUUGCUUUAAAAUUUACUGAAUUCAGCUUUCAAACUGAAACAGGUUUAAAAUGCCACUGUGAUUUCAAUGGAGUGAAGGAACAGAGAUGAGCAACGCUCAGCCUAUCAAAGGUUUCAGCAGCUGCUCUGACUGCAGCCAUCCUCCCAACCAGUCAUUAGAGCUGACAGAGGGAUGCGGAUGGCACUGUGGUCUAAACCACUGAGCCUCUUUGGCUUGCAGAUCAUAAGGUCGGCAGUUUGAGUCCUCGUGAUGGGGUGAGCUCCUGUUGCUCUGUCCCAGCUCCUGCCAACCUAGCAGCUUGAAAGCAUACCAGCAUAGAUAGAUAGAUACCACUGUGGCGAAAAGGUAAACAGUGUUUCCAUGUACUCUAGCACUCGUCAUGGUGUCCCAUUGCACCAGAAGCAGUUUAGUCAUGCUGCUCAUAUGACUUAGAAAGCUGUCUGCAGACAAAUGCUCCCUCAGCCUGAAGCGAGAUGAGUGCCACACCCUAGUCAGGGGUCCUUUACCUUUACCUUAGAGCUGAUAAUCACCAAGUUCUCCCUGAUCAUCUGCCUAUAGGCAAUUCUUGGAAGUAUUGGUCUCACCCCUCAUAAUGUAGUGGACAUCUGAAAAAAAGUGUAUUUCAUUCAUCUGAUAAAACUUCUGCUAUGUAUAGCCUUUCUACCUAACAAAGGCCAUCGGGCCAUCAAGGUGACUCAUAUUUACAUUAUAAUAUUAAAUUAAAACUUUGUCAUUUAAAAAAGAAGUAACUGUAAAACCAAUCAGAUAGUAUAUACUAAAAUAAAGUCUAGCUAAACAGCAUGGGCAAAACCUUUUAUUUAUCCAGAAUAUCUUGACCUGCCAUUGAAAGGCUAAGGGGAGUUCAGCUGUCAAACCAGGCUAGGAAGGAUGUUCCGAAAGAAUACCACUGUCAAAAGGCUCCACUCCAUUGUUGUAACUAUUGGUCUAACCACAGAGACAUAAAAUAUUCCGAGCAGGGAACACUCUGAAGAUCUCAGCAUGCAAAAAACCUCAUACAUAAAGAAGCAAACAUUUAUUUACAUAAGCAGGACCCUUCAAGGCACCAAGUAACAACCAGGCAGCUAUGGUCUAAUUCAGCAGAAGUUUCUUAACAGUUUUCAAAGGCACCCCGCAUAAAUCAUAUUACAGUAAUCUAAUUGAAAGGUAUGAUAGUGUAAAGACAGUUAUGAUUGUGAACCCCAUGCAUCUUUCUAUCAAUUAACACUGACCUGAGCCAACAUAACUAUGUCCUUGAUAAUAAAUCUCCAAUUCACAUAGAAGAACAAUGAGGGCAAGUUAAACCAAAUGAAAUCAAACUUGCUAAAAUUUCAUGAUUUAUUCUGGGGUAUAACUCUUUUACAUAGAGGCACACUCUUUUGUUUUUUGUUUCAUAAACAAGGAGAUUCCUGAUCCAAGCAUAUUUUACAAAAAAACACAAACACGUAUUCAUCUUGGGUUAAUAAAUGUUUCUCAUUUUAAGAUGAAUGAGUUUACCUUCUGGUAGCACCUAAUUCAACUUGAUAGUAUAUGUGAGAAAAAUAUUUAAACAUGGCAUGACUUCAGAAGCAUUAAGCCCUCUUCAUAUUCACUUAUUACUUAGUCAGAGCAUGACAGAAACAAAUACAAAGCAGGAUUAUUUUUUAUGUCUCAUAUUGUUUAUUAUCUCUUGACACUGCUGGAACAUGCAAAUCAAUCUUCUCUUCCUCCUAAACUUAAAUGAGAUGCAUUUUUAAACUAAAGCAAACAGCAGUAGUAAGAACAUUUUAAAGUUAAUUGCCAAUUUGUGGUAAUAUAGCAGCUUUUUCAUGCUGAUAACUGUAAGAGCUAAAUCUAUAUAAACAAAGUGACCUCUGAAAUUCAAAUGCACUUUACAUGUGCAAUGUUUGUGUUCCUAGUUUAUCUUAAGUAUUUUAUUCAGAUUUCUCUGCUUGUGGCGCUGCUUCAGAGGUGGAUUACUGCUUUUCAUUUCAGUUAGUUUUGCAUGAAGAUAUUGAGUUUCUUUCUCUCUGGAUUUAUUUCUUUGUACUGUAAGAAUGUAUAUAAAGAUAAACUGCUUAAGGGAUCAAUAUUACUUGUGUUUAGUCAAUGCCUUCUUUAUUCCUUUUUGCAUUAGCUUAUGAAGAAGAUUAAACAUAUUUUUAACAUAUCUAAUGACAUUCUCAGUUUUGUUUUUUCAGUAUCUGCCCUUGAUCCUAACAAUACAAUUUUUAUUACUCUUUAAAAAAUUGGGAACAGCCUAGGUUGCUGGACUGAGUGCCCUUUUGACGUGGGUCACCUCCAGUAUGCCAUUAUUUGUCCUUUCUAUAGAGUUUAUAUCCAAAGAUAACUGUGUCCCAUUAGUUCUCACCACUCUAACAGGUUGUCAUUAUGUCUACUGUAUCCAUGCUGCCCUCUAUGACAAGCCCUUCAGUUCGCCCAUCUUGGCUUAGAGGCUUCUAGAAUUAGUGUAUAAACAACCCUGAGCAGGGAUGUUAAAAGGCAUCAUUUUUUAUUCUACUUUGUAUUUGUUGCAUUCAGAACUGUCUCCAUUCUGCUGCAGUUCAUCUUCUGGCAAAACCAACAUUAUUCAACUCACUGUCUGCAAUAGUGAAAUUAUGUAAUUAAUUACAUAAAUUAUGUUACUACAUUAUUCCACUCCAUUUCAAGGCAAAAGGAUGGCAAUUUUAUGGAUUAUAUAACAUUUGCUGACUGAAAACAUCAACCAUGGUGAAUACCAUUCCGGCUUGCUGCCUUGAUUUCCAUUCUGGACAUGGGACAAAUAAGUGAACAACCGCGAUCUCCACUCCUGUUUUAUUGGAACUGUCCAACAUAAUGUUCAUUCCUAACUCUGAGUAAGACCUAGUUGGAUACAAACUAGUGUUUGGAGUUACAUUUAUUGUUGUACUUUGAUACAUUACAUGAACGAACCUGGGAAUAAUUUUAGUGUUGAAAAGCAGGAUAAAUUAAAUAAAUAAAUAAAGAUUAAUAUAAUUUCAGUCCAGAUUUCCACACAUUUUUUUACUAUGCUAGAAGCAUGCUUAUGGGCAUUGUUUAUGACCAUAGCAUUUGACUGCCGAACUCACCUUGAAGUGAAUUAAGCAGCUAUAGAAUUGUCAAGGCUUCCAGUGAAAUUUUCCUUUUUCUGCUUUAUAUUCAUCAUGAGCCUUGGCUCCUUCUCAAGUAAAUACGCUGACAUUUAGAAGUAAAAUGAUGGAUGAAAGUUUUUUUUGUAAGCACAGGCCUUAUUCUUGGGACUCAUCACAAUUUUACUGCACAUUGAUUCAGAGUAAAAUCAUUUUUAAAUGAUUGAGAGAUAAUAUUCUUCCAAGUUUUUUUCUGAAAUGACACUGAAUAAUACAAUUGAAAACUUCUCAAUUCAAUAAAAAUAUGUUUCAAAAGAGUUGUCCCUGACAACAGAGAGAUUAUCAAAUAACUCGCAAGAACAUGGAUCUAUCAGUGGUGCUUCUGAUAGGUUUGCUAACCCCAGCUGUUGUUUUAAACAAGAGAUACUUUCUAUUUGAUGCAUUUGAAGGAGGAAGCUUGGGAUCAGGAAUCAGAUAAAUGCAUUUAUCAUAAGAUAAGACAAAUCACCACUCUUCCUCCUUCGAAGUGCCAUUGACAACAAUCGGGUUCUUAAGGGGAGCAAUACAACAAAACUUGUUUUCCAAACACAUCAUAUGCUUGUUAUUCAGCACACUAAAGGCAAUUGUGCAACUCCCCAGUGACUGUGAUAAAGUUUCCAACCAUCCUACACAAGUUAUUACUUGGUAAUGUUGCGGUAUUAAGUUGUUUUUGCUGUAUUGUCCUUGUAAAAAGAGAGUUUCUGGGGGCUGUCUGAAAUGCUUCAGAUACUAUUCCUGCAUUGCUUUUAUCGCACAUUGCAGGAGUGUUCGAUCAUUAACCUUUAUCUGCUACGUCAUAUGGGGGUGGUGGGUUAGUUAGGGGAAAGUAUGGGAAAUAUAAACUUUCUCAGGCAUUACUGCAACUUCAAUAAGUAGAUCAGAGAGAGCCGUAUUUUCUGUGGUUUUGAAUUUGCCCUGAAUAAGUGUAAUGAUUUAUCAGCUAUGACCCCAAACCAGAGAUGUAAGUGCUGCAGAAGGUUAGCUUCCAUAGCUGCAUUUGAACGUAGCCUCUAUUCCCCCACACUGAGUUUUUUGUACUUCUGCAAAGCUUAGAGUUCCCCCAGGCCUGCUAACUUCUCCAUGUUAAGUAUGGAUACUGAGCUACACAGACCAAUGGUCUGACUCAGUAUAAGGCAUUUUCCUGAUUACCUUGGUUUCAUAAAGGUUGGCACUCAGAGAAAUGAGUUCAGCAUCAAUAUAUAAUAUGCUAAAAAGUUUAGAUUGGGCUUAUAGAAUAUGAUGUAUCUCAGCAACCUUUGAUCAUUACAACAGCACGUAAUUAUUUUAUUUUUUCUGGUUGUCGAAAGUCAUGCCAUGUAUUUAUUCUUGCUGUUUAAUUAUAUAUGCUGUAUUUUAACUUUUUAUGUAAUCAGCUGUGUGAUUCCUAUUGCAAUGAAGAACAUGUAAUAAAUAUUUCAGAUAAAUCAGCUCUGGCAUGCACAUGGAGAGUUUUAAUACCCUGGAGCUUCUCAGUAAACAUUUAAAUGCAAAGAUCACUUGGCAUAAGCUGAAUCUGACAUCUUCAUAGAAGUGAAUGAGGAAGCCCUCUUGUGUUAGAACGGUAGUGUUGUGGAUUCAGGGUGUUGUAUUUUAAUAAAAACACUGACCAUUGUUAAUUAUGGAGCAAAUGUGACAAAAAUUAGGACAAACCACAUUAAAAACAACACGAAGUCCUGUGGCACCUUAGAGACUAACAACUCUAUUAUAGCAAAAGCUUUUGUAUCCUACAGUAUACUUCAUUGGAGGGAUGAAAUGUUAUCCUGAGUUAUAGGCUGGGUAAAUUAACUUGCAACUCAGGAUAACACUUUGUGCAUCUGAUGAAAUGGACCAUAGUUCACAAAAGCUAAUACAUCUGUUAAUAUUUAUGGCGCUACAAGACUCUUCGUAGUCCUUACUGCAACAGACUAACAUGGCUGCAUCUUGGAAAAUGCAGUAAAAUAAUGGACCAAUGAAAGUUUCACCUUCACAUCUCAUAAUGAUUCAUCUGUUAUUCCUCUUUGGUUGGGGUGCAAAAUUAACAUCGCUCAAUGUAAAGCCAGCAGGCACUCUUCUAGUCAAUGACCUUUCUCCUCUGUACAGACUUGUUUGCAAGAGUACACAGACACAAGUGGGCACAAACAUAUUGAGCUUCAGCACCCAGCAAAGGCUUAUUUUGCAAAGAAACACCAAGUGUUAGUUGUUGAAACUAUUUUGUGCAUUCCCACAAACAAAUGACACUAUUUAGAAUAUUUCCUUUCUGACCAGUAGAUAAAGUCUUUCAUGUUGACAAUGCUAAUAUUAUAUGCAAAAAUAUAUUUUGUCUUUAUAUUUUGCAGAUUUUAUUGCUUUAUAUAAAUUGCCCAGCAGGGACUCAUUUUGAGAAAGAAGACAAUUUCUCAGGACUGCACUGGACAGGGUCAGGAUAUUAUAUUGCUUAAGGAAGGAAUAUGAAAAGAAAAUGAUCUUCUGUGAGCCUCAUGCAUACAUAAGUGAAGUAGGUCCCAACGAUUUUUAAAAGUUACUUCUUGAAUUGCUUUGUAGAAGGUGUCUUCCUAAAUGAAUAUUAUACAAUGCUUUUACUGCUUGUACUUAAAAAAAAACUGCUUUAGCUUUCACAAGAUACUAUGGCAUGACAAUGAAGAACUUGUCAGCGUGGGGAACACACUGUUUUAUAGCUAGAAAC